rnacentral:rRNA from 1 species
AUGAGGAACUUGAAAGACGAAAGAACUAAGAUUUAUCCCUCAACUGCGAGGGGAGGUAAGGAACUGCCAUCUAGCUCUGCACUAGAUUCUCCUUCUGUUAUGAGUAAUCUUGCGACACCUAAACCUGCUUCUGCUAUGAAUUCUGAUAUGUCGCAUGUUAUUGAUGAUGCCACUUCUACUAUGCAUGAUACUUAUGAUGAAACUACUUCUAUGCUUGAUACUACUGUGUCAUUAGGUGAAUAUCUUGAUGAACAACUUGUUAGGGCUCGAGAGAAUGAAAUUCUUGAAACUGAUAUUAUUGAAGAUAGUGAUGAUGAAGGUUCUCCUCCUAAAUAUGAAUUGCCUGUUGUUCCUGAGGGUUAUGUUACGGAUGAAGAAACUGCUAGAGAUUUUCUUGCUUGCAAUGACAGAUCUGAUCUUAAGAAGUUACUAGCUAAACUGAAACAGAAAUCUCUAAAUGCUAGAAUGAAAUAUGACCCUGCUUUUGCUACUUCACCUAUCUUUGUUGCCGAUAAGGAUUAUGAUUUCUCUGUCGACCCUGAGAUUAAUACUUUGGUUGAAUCUGAUCCUUUCUAUGGCUAUGAAUCUGAAACGGUUGUGGCAUAUCUUACUAAGUUAAAUGAUAUAGCCAUCCUGUUCACUAAUGAUGAGAAAUCUCGCUAUUAUUAUAUCCUUAAGAUAUUUCCAUUCUCAUUAAAGGGUGAUGCUAAAACUUGGUUUAAUUCUCUCGAUCCUGGUUGUGUGCAUAGUCCUCAGGAUAUGAUUUAUUACUUCUCUGCCAAAUAUUUCCCUGCUCAUAUGAAACAAGCUGCUUUAAGGGAAAUAUAUAAUUUUGUGCAAAUUGAAGAAGAGAGUCUCCGCUUCUCCGAUUACUUAAUGCUUUGUCUGAUCAUCCUCUUAAGAAAAAUGAAAUACUUGAUAUCUUUUAUAAUGGACUAA